CCCUGUUUAUCAAAAACAUGUCUUCUUGUUAUUGAUUUGAAGUCGUGCCUGCCCAGUGAGGAGUUUAACGGCCGCGGUAUUUUGACCGUGCAAAGGUAGCAUAAUCAUUAGUCUUUUAAUUGGGGGCUGGAAUGAAUGGUUUGACGAAACAAUAACUGUCUCAAUAUUAUUGAUUGAAUUUUAUUUUUAAGUUAAAAAGCUUAAAUGGGAAUGGGGGACGAGAAGACCCUAUAGAUCUUUAUAAUAUAAUUAUAGUUAAAUUGUUGGUUGUUAUUUAUUUAAUUUUGAGUGUAUUAUUUCGUUGGGGUGAUGAGAGAAUAAAUAAGCUUCUAUUUUUUUAAACUAUGAUGAUUGGUUUUAUGAUCCUAUGUUAUGGAAUUGAGAGUAAGAUACCUUAGGGAUAACAGCGUAAUUUUAUUGGAGAGUUCAUAUCGAUAAUAAAGAUUGCGACCUCGAUGUUGGAUUAAGAUUAUAAUUAGGUGCAGUAGCUUAAUUAAUUGGUCUGUUCGACCAUUAAAUUCUUACAUGAUCUGAGUUCAGACCGG
rnacentral:rRNA from 1 species